rfam:Aedes albopictus isolate Foshan contig96652, whole genome shotgun sequence.
UGUUGUGUGGCGGAGUUGGUUAACGCGCCCUGUCUAGCGAACUUGGAGAGACGUGGGUUUAAACCCCACCAGAGCUA